rnacentral:lncRNA from 1 species
AGCCUGUGCCAUGGGGCCUCCGCUGCCCACCGCAGAUGAGGAUCUUUCCUGCCCCAAAUCGCGGAGUGACCUCGUAGGCCGGCCCUGUUCAUUUCAGUACUGAGGCUCGCACUGCACCCAGCCCCGUCAGUCAUGGGGACCCAGAGAUGACUAACACAGGGCACUGGCCUGUGAAGAUCAUGGGUUACUGGAGGACACAGAUGGACACAGAUAACAAACAAUAAUCCCAGGUGGUAUGAAGUCAACCCAGCCAGAGGUGAAGACCCGUGGGGGCACAGCAGAGAGAGCCAGAGGAGUCUGGCAGGGAACCAGGCAGGGCUUUGCAGCAGAGACGGCCUUUGAGGCUGGGUAUUAAAGGAUACAGAGCUCAGUAAAGGUAGACGGGGUGAGGAAGCCACGGGAGUUAGGAAAGCAUUGGGGUGGAUGGCCUGCCUGGCUGUAACACGUGGGGAAUGAGUAGGGAGAAGAAGGGUCUUGGAGAGGUUAUAUGGGACUGGGGAAGUUGGUCUGGAACAGGGCCAGGCUGCCUGUGAACAAUGGGAAAUUGCAGGGUUGCAGGGGUGUGGUGGUGCUGGGGAAGUGAUCCUGCCUGUGAGGGAGGGGAUCAUAGGCAGCCCUGGCAGCAGGGUCUGUGGUGAAGCCAGAGGGAAUUAGAGAUACCAGUGAGCAGGCUCUUCAAUAGCCCAGGGCAGAGCUAGAUGCGGCCCAGGAGGGGCCUGAGGUGAGUGGUACAGCUGAGGCAAGCCCAUGGGACCCGAGGCAGGACAGCACAGCGGCAGGAAAAGCACA